rnacentral:rRNA from 1 species
CGCCUGUUUAACAAAAACAUCUUUUCUUGUUAGUUUUUGAAGUAUGGCCUGCCCACUGACUUUUUGUUGAAGGGCCGCGGUAUUUUGACCGUGCAAAGGUAGCAUAAUCAUUAGUUCUUUAAUUGUGAUCUGGUAUGAAUGGCUUGACGAGGCAUAUACUGUCUUAGAAGUAUUGUUUGUUGAAUUUAGUUUUUGAGUUAAAAUUCUUAGAUGUUUUUAUGGGACGAGAAGACCCUAUAGAGUUUAACAUUUAUUUUUAUUAAAAUUUGUUGUUUGUUUUUAUUUUUAAUUGGGUUAAGUGUUUUGUUGGGGUGAUGGGAGGAAUAUUUUUAACUCCUCUUUGUUUUUAUAUAUUGAUUUAUAUUUUUUUUGAUCCAUUUAUUUUGAUUAUAAGAUUAAAUUACCUUAGGGAUAACAGCGUUAUCUUCCUUGAGAGUUCUUAUUGGCGGGGAGGUUUGCGACCUCGAUGUUGGAUUAAGGUGAAUUUUUGGUGCAGGAGCUGAAAUGAUUAGGUCUGUUCGACCUUUAAAACCUUACGUGAUCUGAGUUCAGACCGGA